ensembl:lncRNA
AAACAGAGAGAGACAGCGAGACAGAGACAGAGAGAGCCAGAGAAACAGAGAGAGACAGCGAGACAGAGACAGAGACAGAGAGAGCCAGAGAAACAGAGAGAGACAGAGACAGAGAGAGACAGAGACAGAGAGAGACAGAGACAGAGAGAGACAGAGACAGAGACAGCGAGAGCAAGAGAAACAGAGAGAGACAGAGAGAGAGAGACAGAGAGAGACAGAGACAGAGAGAGACAGAGACCGAGAGAGACAGAGACAGAGAGAGAGAGAGAGAGAGAGAGACAGAGACAGAGACAGAGACAGAGAGAGACAGAGACAGAGAGAGCAAGACUUGGGUAUCUGUACUUUACUAUUUAUAUUUGACAACUUUUACUUUACUGUAGUCCUAAAGAAAAUAUUGUAAAAAAUAAAAAUUCCCCUGACAACCCAAAGUACUUGAUACAUUUUGAAUGCUUAGUAGAAGACAAAAAUGGUGAAACACACUUAUCUAGAGAACAUUCCUGGUCAUCUCUACUGCCUCUGAUCUGGAGGACUCACUAAACAGAGAACAUCCCUGGUCAUCCCCUACUGCCUCUGAUCUGGAGGACUCACUAAACAGAGAACAUCCCUGGUCAUCCCUACUGCCUCUGAUCUGGCAGAUUCACUAAACAGAGAACAUCCCUGUUCAUCCCUAAUAGCCUCUGAUCUGGAGGACUCACUAAACAGAGAACAUCCCCGGUCAUCCCUACUGCCUCUGAUCUGGAGGACUCACUAAACAGAGAACAUCCCUGGUCAUCCCUACUGCCUCUGAUCUGGAGGACUCACUAAACAGAGAACAUCCCUGGUCAUCUCUACUGCCUCUGAUCUGGAGGACUCACUAAACAGAGAACAUCCCUGGUCAUCCCUACUGCCUCUGAUCUGGAGGACUCACUAAACAGAGAACAUCCCUGGUCAUCCCUACUGCCUCUGAUCUGGAGGACUCACUAAACAGAGAACAUCCCUGGUCAUCUCUACUGCCUCUGAUCUGGAGGACUCACUAAACACAGAACAUCCCUGGUCGUCCCCUACUGCCUCUGUUCU